rnacentral:rRNA from 1 species
UGCCCUAGUAACGGCGAGUGAAGCGGCAACAGCUCAGAUUUGAAAUCUGGCCCAUUAGGGUCCGAGUUGUAAUCUGUAGAGGAUGCUUUUGGCGAGGUGCCUUCUAAGUCCCCUAGAACGGGGCGCCACAGAGGGUGAGAGCCCCGUACAGUUGGACACCGAACCUUUGUAAAGCUCCUUCGACGAGUCGAGUAGUUUGGGAAUGCUGCUCAAAAUGGGAGGUAUAUUUCUUCUAAAGCUAAAUACCGGCCAGAGACCGAUAGCGCACAAGUAGAGUGAUCGAAAGAUGAAAAGCACUUUGAAAAGAGGGUUAAAUAGCACGUGAAAUUGUUGAAAGGGAAGCGCUUGUGACCAGACUUGCGCCCGGUGAAUCAUCCAGCGUUCUCGCUGGUGCACUUUGCCGGGCUCAGGCCAGCAUCGGUUCUCCCAGGGGGAUAAAGGUCUCGGGAACGUAGCUCUCUUCGGGGAGUGUUAUAGCCCGUGGCAUAAUACCUUUGGGGGGACCGAGGACCGCGCUCUGCAAGGAUGCUGGCGUAAUGGUCAUCAGCGACCCGUCUUGAAACACGGACCAAGGAGUCAAGCAUUAGGGCGAGUCUUUGGGUGUAAAACCCGCAGGCGCAAUGAAAGUGAACGGAGGUGAGAGCUUCGGCGCAUCAUCGACCGAUCCUGAUGUUCUCGGAUGGAUUUGAGUAAGAGCCUUACCGCUUGGACCCGAAAGAUGGUGAACUAUGCCUGAAUAGGGUGAAGCCAGAGGAAACUCUGGUGGAGGCUCGCAGCGGUUCUGACGUGCAAAUCGAUCGUCAAAUUUGGGCAUGGGGGCGAAAGACUAAUCGAACCAUUAAACGCCUUUUAGUUGCUACUAGGUGGUUGAGAGGCCUGGUCGCGAGACCUGUGGCCUAGUCUCCAGGGGCUGCUGUCCCCGGGGGCGACACUGUCAAAUUGCCGGAGACUGCCUGUAUGAGGCCCAAGCUACCGCGGCCCGCCGAAAGGCAGGGUGCAGCACCGGGUUAACUGCCCUGGGGAUGGUAAUAACGCUUGGAGCUUAGGGUUGAUCCGCAGCCAACUCCCCCCGCCUCGGCGGGUAAGGAGACAGUUCACAGACUAGACGGCAGUGGGUUUAGCUGUAUGCUGAGCUUAAGAUAUAGUCGAAGACCCCUGAGAAAUCAG